GACGAACGCUGGCGGCGUGCUUAACACAUGCAAGUCGAACGGAAAGGCCCUGCUUUUGUGGGGUGCUCGAGCGGCGAACGGGUGAGUAACACGUGAGUAACCUGCCCUUGACUUUGGGAUAACUUCAGGAAACUGGGGCUAAUACCGGAUAGGAGCUCCUGCUGCAUGGUGGGGGUUGGAAAGUUUCGGCGGUUGGGGAUGGACUCGCGGCUUAUCAGCUUGUUGGUGGGGUAGUGGCUUACCAAGGCUUUGACGGGUAGCCGGCCUGAGAGGGUGACCGGCCACAUUGGGACUGAGAUACGGCCCAGACUCCUACGGGAGGCAGCAGUGGGGAAUAUUGCACAAUGGGCGGAAGCCUGAUGCAGCAACGCCGCGUGCGGGAUGACGGCCUUCGGGUUGUAAACCGCUUUCGCCUGUGACGAAGCGUGAGUGACGGUAAUGGGUAAAGAAGCACCGGCUGACUACGUG
rnacentral:rRNA from 1 species